rnacentral:lncRNA from 1 species
CACAACAAAGUGAUUCAGUUAUACACACACACCCAUUCUCUUUCAGAUUCCUUUCCCACAGAGAUGAUCACAGAAUAGUGGGUAGAAUUCUUUGGGUUCUACAGCAGGUCCCAUCAUUGCUGGCUUUGGGGUGGGUGUUCAUUUUUCUCCCACCCUGCCUUUUUGGUUCAAACACCAUAGAAAGAAAAACAACAUCUGAUAUCUUCCAGAUCACAUUUCUGAGGCUUUCAAAGCGAACUUCCAUCUCCCAUUUGAUGACUGUCCAGGAAAACUGUCUCUCUGGUCAGACUGGGGACCAGUCAUCAAUGUGGGACCAGUCAUCAAUGUGGGAGAAAAGCUUGUGCUGAUUGGCUGGGUUUGGGUCACGUGCGCAGCUCUGCAACCAGAGCAGUGGGUUAUAGUGACUGGAGGGGUGGGGUGAGGGUGGGGAAACAGGACUGCAAAUCAGGCAGUGGUUAAACACACUAAAUGUUCUUUGUCCUUCCUGCAACCACCCAGCCAACCUUAGUGCCUAUUUAUUCCGUUUCCUAUACUCAUGUCUUUCGUCCUAUUCUUCCCAAUCCUGUUGCUGCCCCAGGUGGGAACAUCUGCUCUCUCUUAUCCCUGAAAAGGUCAUACAGGUUUAGGCGAAACAUCCCAGGACCAGUAGCUGUGGCUCCCCCACUGACCACUGGUAGGAAAUAACUUGGUCGCUAAGGGACUGCUGCAGAAAUCACUGUGGAGGAAAGAGUCGGUCCUGGAAGGAAAUUCAGCUGAGUGGAUAGAGGGGAAAAGGCUACUCUGAGUAUGAAAGAUCCAGAAUAUUUUAGAAAAUCAAGAGACACAUAGGUAAAAAGAACUGUGAAUGGGAUUGAGCAGAGAAGCAGACCGAUUCAAUGAAACUAUAAAGGAGAAAUGUUUUUAGGCAAUCAUCAGAUCUGAGGAAGAGGCAAGACUGCACGUUUACAAAUAAUUCAAACUGUCUCGAGCCUCUUUAUAAAAGUAACAGUAAAUAGGACAGAGAGGGAUAAAAAACCCUCUACUCCACCAUCACCUCUGAGAAAUGGGGAGCGGCUGCCAGGAAUAUUGUGUUAGGAAGGACUCAGAGGCGCAUUUGCUUGCCCAGAAAAGGAUGUUAUGAUUACAUGGAGAUGGGUGAUGUUAUGGCUAAGUGCAAGGAUACUGUUGGGCCUUACUUUAGAUUCCUAGAACAGCUGUUGACAACUUGCUGUUUUGCAGAUCAUAUUUGAAAAAUGAAGAUAGAAACCUAUGGCAAAUCCAUCUGUAAAGUGAAUAAUCUAAUUAACCCAUCCCCAGCUUUGUGUAAAUUGCAAUUAAGGUAGUGAGGGGGCUCAUUUACAAAUGGGAUGCACAAAGAGAGAAUUGUUUUCAAAGUAAAGGAAAACGUCUAAUGCUUAAAUACCUUACUAUGCAAUGACUGGUGGUGGCAAUGAGGUGGAGAGAGGAAUUUGGGGAUGUCUGUACUUCUGAGAGGGGUAGAGCCAGAAGGGAGAUGAGGCCAGGCAAUGGCAGAGGGUGACUUAGCCACAGUGAAUCAAAUUAGGGGUCUGGCGUGUUGAGUUGCCUUCCAGGAAACAGGCUGAUAGGCAGAUCAGUUAAUGCACUAGAAACCACUUCAACAAAGAUCAUUCAUUAAAUGAUAAUACAAUUAUCAUAUUACUGGACAACUUAUUAAAAGUGUUUGUAUUCUGGCACCUGUUUUGUCCAGGAUUUGUCACUCCUCAGAGGAAGGUCAACGUGUGUGUGUGUGUGACAUAUUCAGAUUUUAGACACUUGCUCAAUGAUUUCACAUGAAAUCAUGGGAAGAGAAAGAGAGAAAGAGAACAAGAGAGAGCAGGAGAGAGAGGGAGGGUGGGAGGGAGAAGGAGAGAGGGAAGGGGGGCAGGCUAUUAGUGCAUUGGCAUUAGAAAAAUAAAAUUUUUUUUUUUUGGUCACGCCUGGGUCACUUGGAUGUUCCUGCACCAGGGAUUCAACCCUUCCCACAGUGACCCAAGCUGCUGCAGUGACAAUGCUGGAUCCUUAACCUGCUGCAUCACAAGGGUACUCUCAGAACAUCUCAAAAGAAUGGACUGAAAGAUGACUAAACAAGUGAUCAAAGGAGUUAGUAGUCUGGGCUCUGCUUAACAGUAAUUGCUAGACCUUUUCUGAGCCAUUUUAUUUAUCUGAAUUUUUAAAUUUCCUCAUCUGUAAUACAGGGGGGAAAAUCCACAUUUCUCUCUAACUUGAAAAAUGCAUUGGGCGAAUUGUCAGAAGCAGCUGCUGGCCUCUCACUGCCCAUUAAACCCAGAGCACUUUAUCCAAAUGCUCAAUCUAUAGUUUGUGAAAAGUCCUCAUCUUUCUUAAGAUUUCUGUGGAUUGCAGAAUCUUACACUCUCAUGGGCCUACUGGGUUUCUAUCUCUUGUCCUCACU